rnacentral:lncRNA from 1 species
AUGGCAGGACGAAUAAGAGACCUUCUGUUAAUCUUGUUUGAUUAAUCCCCUUCAGCUUUUAUAUUUCCUUGUGUAUCACAUGAAGCAUUGUUCAAAUUUGGCUGCUGUUCGAACUUUGAAGCCCUUUAUCAAGAUUUGGUUCCAGGUUUGUGUUUCUUGGUCUGAUCUUCAGGUUGUUUUAUUGCGAUAAAUGAAGUUCCUCGUACUGUUACCGGUUUUGUUUUUAUAUUAGUAGCUAUAUGGUAGCCAUAACCUUUCAUUAUCUGUUUUAGAAUGAAUAGUCUCAUAACAAAUUAGCAGUGGGAUCUUGUGUACAAAUGACUUCGAAGAAUUCAAAAUUAUUUGCAUCUAAAGUUGUAUGAUCUUUCAAAAAUUCAAUCUCAAACUCAUUCUAGAUGUCAAUAAGCAAAGAAGACGCAUAAUCAACUAGAACUGUAUCAAGUGCUAGCAACUUGUCAAGGAGGCCUGAGAAUGCCCCAAGACAAGAAUAAUUUGGCUAUGUUUACACCAUAGAAAUUUUAAAGGACAAUUGCAUUAUUUGUACAAAUAGGACAAGUGCAUUAUUUGUACAAACAUGAAAAUUUUUCCUGCAUUGUAAAUAAGGACGGAUUUAGCAUGUGAACGGUGGGGGCUUGAAUCCGCACUAUCUCUGUCAAGACCAUUGAAAUCUCCACUAAGCCUAAAAUCAAAUGCAAAGGAGACUGAAACUCUAUUUAAGUUGUUCAGACUCAUCUAAUAUUGUUUGCUAAACCCGUUAUCGAUUGUAACACACUAUUACUUAAAUUACCUAUCAAUUUGUGAUUUAUACCAUGUGAAUUUCCAGAUUACCAAGAAACUCAAGCUUCAGUAAAGUACAACAAUGGAGGACGGCAUGGAUUUUAGCCCUCAUAAAAAUAGCACAGAACACAAUCGGACUAGCUUUGAAGAUGAAGUCGCCGUUCGAUCGACAACCUCCAAACCAUCGUCGCACUCCCAGACCUCUUCCGACAAGAAACCAAAGCCCAAGAACAACAAGCCGAAUCACACCGACAAGACGGCGCCGCCGCAGCAGNN